GACGAACGCUGGCGGCGUGCUUAACACAUGCAAGUCGAGCGGUAAGGCCCUUUCGGGGGUACACGAGCGGCGAACGGGUGAGUAACACGUGGGUGACCUGCCCUUAGCUCUGGGAUAAGCCUGGGAAACUGGGUCUAAUACCGGAUAUGACUCCAUGACGCAUGUUGUGGGGUGGAAAGCCUUGUGCGGCUAGGGAUGGGCCCGCGGCCUAUCGGCUUGUUGGUGGGGUGAUGGCCACCAAGGCGACGACGGGUAGCCGGCCUGAGAGGGCGACCGGCCACACUGGGACUGAGACACGGCCCAGACUCCUACGGGAGGCAGCAGUGGGGAAUCUUGCGCAAUGGGCGAAAGCCUGACGCAGCGACGCCGCGUGGGGAUGACGGCCUCGG
rnacentral:rRNA from 1 species